GGCCGGGCGGCCUCCUCGGGAAGUGGGGCGGCGCAGACACGCAGGGGGCUGCAGGAAGGGGCCCGCCGGCGGCCAGCUCGGAGGCCGCUGGCUCGGUAAUCGCAGCGUUCCCCGCCGCCCCCCGGCGGCCAUUACCUCAUGGCCCAGCCCUGCCGCGGGGGAGGAGCCGCGCGUAGCCCGGCAACCGGCCCCCCGCCGAGGCCCGGGCCGGCGGGCGGAUCCGCGGCGGGGUGAGGGGAGGUGAGGGCCCGGCCUCUCCCUCCCGCCGCCCCGGCCCACCGCAGCUACCCACCCGCUGGGAGGGCUGGCGGGGCGCGGAGCCGCUCAGCUGCCGGCCGUGUGCCGGCCAAGGGGGGGCUGCGGGUUUGCCGCGCCUUCGGAUUUGUUACAGCUACCGCGGCCGUAUCGCUUUUGAAUGACCGGGGCCGGUGCAGCCGGCCGACUGCCGCGGCCACCUGUGCCUGGGUUUGUCACGGCGCCUACGAGAGCGCUGCCGGCCCCAGCUGAGCAAAAACGCUUAAGCAGAGCCCCGGCCAAGCGCCCACCCAGGCUGAGGGACGCUGGGGGGACAGAACGACAGACACGGGAAUAGGGGAGAGGGUCGCGGUGAAAGUUAGACAUCCAAAAUAUGUGUUUCUUCAAGUUUGGUAGAGGAACGAAGGAGAGGAAUCUUGUCCGCGGAGAGGAAAGUUGGAGUAUGAGUGCAAGACGUAUCAGACAUCAGAAAAUCCCCAAAGGAAAACGUCCCACCGCCAGAGAAAAGCUUCAGCCUGGGUUCUUCAUAAAACAAACAAAAAAACCCCAAACCAAACAACAAAAAAGAAACCCAGAGGAAAUCACGACUUCUUUCUGCAGCAGAACUAUUUGUUGGAUUGUUUUUGUUUACCAGCAAGGGAAAAACAGAAUUGUGUCCAAGGUUACAGCUGGUAAGACAAAAAAGUUGCAGUCGUGCUGGUGACAGGAUUCCAGAAGCGUGGGAUGUGUGUUAACCUCGAGUGAGUGUAAAUGGAUUCGGGGUUUGACCCUGAAUAACCCAUACGAAGAAAUGAUCCAACCCUUCACAGAUGCAGAGAGAAUCCCAGAUGGGGAUGUGCUUGGGUGACGGAAAAGAGGAGAAAUGUUACAAGGACAACAGAGGAUUCACAGGCACCCGAUGAAAAGGCGUGUCUUCAGAGCAGAUCCCCUGGCAGUGACUAAGGGUGAAGUUAGAUGUGGCAUGUGAGUCACCCUGAAAGCUUGCUGCUUCCCAGAGGAGCAGGCUGCUCUCCCCACUUCUCCCGUGGAGGAGCCAAGCACUCCCAGGUUUUCCAGGGGCUGGCUCUGGUGCUUAGGAUUCCUCAGUGAGUGACUCAAUUUACUAACCUGACAGAGAACUAAUUAUAUUUUUUCCCUUGUGAGUUUUCUGCUAGGUUAGUGAACUGAAUUGAUUCGCCCUAAUGUCAUGAAAGUAUCAGGAGUGAGCACGAAGAAAGAGUUGGAAGUAUUCAUCUGGGAGGAACAGGACCAUCCCUUUGGUCACACUGCACUCUUAAAUCAUCUCAGUGGGCUCAUCUAACUCCUCCCUAAAACAGAAACUUCAUGUUACUGCUAGGAAGCCUAACACUUAGGUAUCAUUAAAAAAGUUGGUCCCUUCCACUUCUCACCCUCAGCUGAGUCCUCCCAUUGCUUCCUUUGUUGCCAGGCUUGUAUAUGUGUGACCCUGUGGUUAGCUAGCGAGCAAGUUAAUCAGGAGGCUUUAAAAAAAGGAUAGUUUUCUAAUUAAUUCCUGAAACAGCUAACAGUGGAGUCAGAUGAGUGACAGUGGUUGCACAAGAGAAGGAACAAGACCGUGCAGUUGCAAACAAGGGAUCGAUCCUUUCAGUAGAAGUGGGGCACUUGUUAUGAUGUGUAACAUAAGCCCAGGACAGCAGUGAGGAGGAAGGCUCUGUACAGUGAAGGAGAAGUACUUUGGAGGAACAGAGUUUGCUCUGUGCUUUACAGAAUGUUAAUGACAAGCAAAAAAAAAAAAAGAAAAAAAGAAAAAAAGCAAAGAUAGGCUGGUAAGGGAUUAAAAAAAAAAAAAAAGCUUUCAGUUCCACAAAAACAGAGGAAGAGACAACAGAGGCAUCUUUAAAUCAGAGCCCAGGAAGAAAACGCAAUGUUCAAAAACCCAGAAGGCAGGAACGAUCUGCAGGCAGAAGGAAAACCAAGAAGCAGAAAAGUGAAGAUUCACACCAACAAUAGAGAGAAACAAGUCUGCAUGAUUGGAGACCUCUUGUUGCGAACAACCAAUUGACCUGUCGGAUCUGCGUAAGGAACAGGGAUUUGACAUGUACUGCUGAGACUGAAAAGAGUCUUGUUAGAGUCAGCAGAAGUUGUUCACGGUGGGACAAAUAGCAAUGGCAUGCACUAUUGAUACACAAACACAGCGUGUAGGAGUGCACCAGGGGAGCGGACCUGGGAGUUGGAUUGCCAGCCCCUGGCAUGCGAGGUGCAAUCAAAUUGGCAGAAAAGCUUUUCUUGUUCAAAGCACUACGGUUCCUUCAGGUAGAGUCAGCCAGCACCAAUGCUUUCUCCUUCUUCAACUGCUUUGCCACUGGAAAUUCCUUUCCUGUAAAGGGGCAGCAUCUUUCAGGAGCAAUACCAGCUUAUGGCAUUGGUCUGAAGUGUUAUCACGACUGUGACCUAAGCAGAGCAAACACAUGUAUUUUGGAAAAGAAAACAAGGAAAAUGAAAGGCUAAAUCAAAAAAGUGAAAGUUUAUGCACAAGCUGAAGCAUAAACACAAGCAGAGGAGACAAAUACAAUGAAGAUAAAAGGUCUUAAGGAGAAAAGUCCUUAAAAAUAUCCCACAUAGAGGAUCGUACAUAAUAAUUAUGGCAAAAGAAAGCAUUAUUCCAGAAUUUACAGUCUGAAAAAACAUGAAGAAAGCAAGCAGUGACUCAGAGGAUGGGGUUCUGCACAUAUUUGACAUUAAUUAAAUGCAAAUUGGAAUAAAUAGUAAAGGUCAGAUUAGCAUUAGAAGUGAAGGCAAGUACACAAACAAAAAGGAAAUUAAAUGCAAGAUAGUAUGAUAACGAUAAAUGUGCCAGGCAUGCAUUUUGCAAGAAAAGGAGAAUAAAAAAGUGCAAUCAAGCAAAGCCAAAUGAAAAUUACACUGUGGAAUGAUGAUAACACCUUGAAGACAUUGUGAAUUCUAAUCAGGAUGCAAAGGAUAUCCUGAGUAUGCAGGCUGAAUCUUUGGAAUAUGCAACAUAAAAGCUGUUGCUUUCUGCUGAAGCAGUGAAUUUUUAUACUCGGUAACAAAGCAUUUGACUGUUGCCUGAGUCCAAACUGCUGAAUGUAUCUGAAGAAAAUGGGGUGUCCUCCAACCAUGUUAUAUCUAGACCAGAUGAAAGUAAUUCAACCAGUACAGCAUCGACUUUACACACUACUUAGUGCAUUAGAAUAAGGAAUGAAACGAACACUGGCAUACACAGAGAAAGAAAGCAUCACUAAUAUUUUUACAUAAUCUCAAAAUUACAUAAGCAGCAUGAUAGUCACUGAAAAAGCAAGAUUUUGACACGUCGUGUUCAGCCUUCCUACAGAAGCGAGGCGACUUUCUGGUCAUAUUUUGGAAGCUGUCAGGUAGGCUUCAGUGUUGAGAAUGCUGUUAGUAUUGACCCUGGCAGCUGAAGAGUAUCAGCUCUGCCAGCCAGCCUCACAAAUCAGUGUCAGAGCUGGUGAUACCCAGGAAUGCGAUAUGAAGUAGAAUCUGGCAGAAUCUGUGGUAGCCGUAACAAUUAACCCCGUCUCAUUAGCAGAUAGAACUCGAUACAAACAAAGUUAGUUUUGACUUCAGUAUCUUAUACAGAGCAGCUGCUGACUUCCCAAGGAAACCCAAUGAUUUUGGCAAGGUAAAAGUAGCUUGAAUAUGCCAACCCCUUAAAGGUAUUAACUCAGAGAGUAUUAAAAUUUGCAGAGUAUCUUAUCAUAUCACUUUCAAAUCUUAGACAUAUGCAAAGCAUUGAGACCAUAAUGGAGGAAGAGGCAACACAAGCAUGCUAUACAUGCAGUGUUGGCGACCUUACAAGUCAAUCCAGUGAGGCAAGAUUUGGAGCCUUGUUCAUAUAAAAGAAACCACUAGUAGUUUUGCCUCACCGGUGAAACAAACACAUCAGCAAGGACUGUUUUGCAAUAACGUUUCCACAGUGAAAAGGUCAACUCUGUGAUUGAGAAAACAAAUUUCCAAACAGAAAGAUCCCAGAAGUUACCAAAAGAAUUUGAAAAAUCAUCGCUACUCCCAAAUAUCAGCAGCAGAUGAUACUGAAGCUGUAACAUUUGAAUUUAUUUAAUGACUUUGAGAAGGACCAGUGAAUACAGCAGCCUUGUACCAGAAAAACAAGGUGACUAAAUCAUUAGAACCUUAAUGUUUACUACAGAAAUGAAGAAAUAAAGGAAAACACACACAGUUUCACUCAAACAAUGAAAAUAUGUGCUAGAUUCAGGAGGAUGCUGGAAAGAAUCUGAGAAAAAAGCACAAGAUAAAGAUGUGCUUAUGUUCCUGUCCAUCAUUCUGCUAAAAUGGUCAAAGACCAGAAAAGCAGCCCUGUGUACCUUCCAGGAAUGACAGAACUGUCAAGGCAAAUGGGACACAAAAAUAUUAUAUAUGAGCGACUGAAUCAUCACACCCAGGACACUGAAAAUAGAAACUCUCUUGAGAACAGGGUCAGUCUGGAAUAGAAGGAAACACCAUGUACUAGCAAGAUGGGAUACAGCAUGAGUAAUCAUGCUGGGAGAAAACCUAGUACAUGUGGCAAAAUAAAGCAGAAGUAUAUAGCAUCUUCAACAGGCCCUAGAGCAAACUAAAGAACAGAUCUUACUAAAGGAAAACAAAACAUGGAAACAUACCUUAGCAUUACAGGCUAGUAUUCAGACUUUUAGGAACCAGGCAAAAUGUCAGAGGCUUCUAUAAUACCCACUAAGGGCAGAGCAGCAAAGUGUUUAAGCAUUCCUGAACUAUGUGGUUUCAAUCACAAGACCUCAGUUUACCUCAAAUUAGAUCAUAUAUUUAUUUGAGAACAAGAAGUUGAUUACAUCUGACUGUCCCAUACAAUACCCAGGCAAACAGCGAGGCUGUUUGCUGUACAGAUUGUUGAGAGUAUUGAAAUGGUACAAACAGCAGAGAGAAUAUUUUGCAUUCCGUUCUUGAAUGUUGAAAAUAUUCCCACAGAAAAGUUUACUGCAGUUGAAUACAGUGCUUGAAGUUAUGUUCAGUUACAAACUAAAUGAGUAACAGAUUAAAAUGUUAAGAAAAAGGCCAAAGAUAAGAGUCUCAGAAUUACAGCCCUGAUUUGUAUUUAGAUUAUGUCUUCAAGAUAAUUCUUGUACUGGAAGCAAGUGACAUGUUUGAAGAGAGGAUUCCCUAUUCUUAUACCAAAUCAAAGGGAUAAUUCCCCAUCUGGGCUAUAUUGAAAUUGUGUAUCCAGAUGGUGAGAAAGAUGCAGAUGGGUAAUAAAGUAUGUAUCAAUAACCAAAAAGCACCAUAGUUCCUAACUGAGAGGUACUGGAAAAAAAAGAGGGCCGUGAGUCAACUAAUGUCUGCUAGUAAUUACACUGAAAAUUCUUCAUCAUGAAGACAUUUAAUUUGAAAGGUGAUGAAUCUCUUACUUGUUAUUAAAGCAUUUUUUGUGUUUCUCUCUGUA